rnacentral:rRNA from 1 species
AGCGAACGCUGGCGGCAGGCCUAACACAUGCAAGUCGAACGAAGUCUUCGGACUUAGUGGCGGACGGGUGAGUAACACGUGGGAACGUGCCUUUAGGUUCGGAAUAACUCAGGGAAACUUGUGCUAAUACCGAAUGUGCCCUUCGGGGGAAAGAUUUAUCGCCUUUAGAGCGGCCCGCGUCUGAUUAGCUAGUUGGUGGGGUAAUGGCCCACCAAGGCUACGAUCAGUAGCCGGUCUGAGAGGAUGACCAGCCACAUUGGGACUGAGACACGGCCCAAACUCCUACGGGAGGCAGCAGUGGAGAAUCUUGCGCAAUGGGCGAAAGCCUGACGCAGCCAUGCCGCGUGGAUGAUGAAGGUCUUAGGAUUGUAAAAUCCUUUCACCGGUGAAGAUAAUGACUGUAGCCGGAGAAGAAGCCCCGGCUAACUUCGUGCCAGCCGCCGCCGUAAAAC